GGGCGAUUAGCUCAGCUGGGAGAGCGCCUGCCUUACAAGCAGGAGGUCAGUGGUUCAAAUCCACUAUCGCCCA
rnacentral:tRNA from 1 species